CCUACGGGAGGCAGCAGUGAGGAAUAUUGGUCAAUGGGCUUACGCCUGAACCAGCCAAGUCGCGUGAGGGAAGACUGCCCUAUGGGUUGUAAACCUCUUUUGUCAGGGAGCAAUUGGCGCUACGUGUAGCGUUAUCGAGAGUACCUGAAGAAAAAGCAUCGGCUAACUCCGUGCCAGCAGCCGCGGUAAUACGUAGGGGGCAAGCGUUAUCCGGAUUUACUGGGUGUAAAGGGAGCGUAGACGGGAAGGCAAGUCAGAAGUGAAAGCCCAAGGCUCAACCAUGAGACUGCUUUUGAAACUGGCAAACUUGAGUACGGGAGAGGUAAGAGGAAUUCGUAGUGUAGCGGUGAAAUGCGUAGAUAUUAGGAAGAACACCAAUGGCGAAGGCGUCUUACUAAACCGAAACUGACAUUGAGGCUCGAAAGCGUGGGGAGCAAACAGGAUUAGAUACCCUUGUAGUC
rnacentral:rRNA from 1 species